CCUACGGGUGGCAGCAGUGGGGAAUAUUGCACAAUGGGGGAAACCCUGAUGCAGCGACGCCGCGUGAGUGAAGACGUAUUUCGGUAUGUAAAGCUCUAUCAGCCGGGAAGAAAAUGACGGUACCUGACUAAGAAGCCCCGGCUAACUACGUGCCAGCAGCCGCUGGAAUACGGAGGGGGCAAGCGUUAUCCGGGUUUACUGGGUGUAAAGGGAGCGUAGACGGGCAGACAAGUCACAAGUGAAAGCUCAGGGCUCAAACCUGGGAGUGCUUUUGAAACUGCCGUGCUGGAGUGCAGGAGAGGUAAGCGGAAUGCCUAGUGUAGCGGUGAAAUGCGUAGAUAUUAGGAGGAACACCAGUGGCGAAGGCGGCUUACUGGACUGUAACUGACGUUGAGGCUCGAAAGCGUGGGGAGCAAACAGGAUUAGAUACCCUAGUAGUC
rnacentral:rRNA from 1 species